rnacentral:rRNA from 1 species
UACAGAGGGGGCAAGCGUUAUUCGGAAUUAUUGGGCGUAAAGGGCGCGUAGGCGGCCUGGCAAGUGGAAGGUGAAAUCGCCCGGCUCAACUGGGCGGGGUCAGCGGAUACGGCAGAGCUUGAGCAAGCUAGGGGGCAAUGGAAUUCCCGGUGUAGUGGUGGAAUGCGUAGAUAUCGGGAGGAACACCAGUGGCGAAGGCGGUUGCCUGGGGCUUUGCUGACGCUGAUGCGCGAAAGCGUGGGGAGCGAUCCGG